UGUCAAAGCCGCUCAGUGUGCACGUGUUACAUGAGGCACUACUGAGAUGAUGAAGGCAAAGUGUAAUUUGUAAAAACAAACAGUUAAGCAUGUGUACAUCCUGGAGAGCGAGAUCCUGGUGAGAAGCAGGAUGGAUUCCACUGAUGCAGAAAGAGUGGCCUGGAGGAGCCUGAAAGGGGUGAUUCAGAGCCAGCACGGAGUCCCCAGGCUAGCCCCUCAAUGAGGAAGGCCUGGAGGAUGAACGCACUCACAGCUGUGGCUUCUUCACAAUUGAUUGGGAAACCUCUACUCCUGAGGGCCUCUACCCAGUGACCACUUCGUUAGCCAUCCGUGCUACAGUACAUCUUCCAGGACACAUGAGAUGCUCUGUUGGAGAACAUGGUCUUCACUUAGCAGAAGCAGAAGAGGCAUCAAAAUAAGCCAUUCUCACACUGAUUCUUCAUCACUGGGGAUUUGGCGCCUUUUCACUGUUUAUUUUAAUAUAACUGACAACCUUUGUAGUCAAUUUGGUAUCAUUCAUAUCCUGAAAUAUCAUAGACCUGUCUGUAUCUGAUUUGCAAAGUACAGUAAGCAGAAUAAUGCAAUGAAAGUUAUGAUGCUUUAUCUUAAG
rnacentral:lncRNA from 1 species